ensembl:lncRNA
AUGAAGCGUGGGUUGUUUACAUUAGGGACCAAUGUGACACAAUCAACUAAAAUGUAUACUGUUAUAAAUGACAGCCGACAACACCUAGCAUGCAUUUACAAAAUACUUUGUCAAUACCAAGGAGCUGCAGGUAGCGAGGCAUCAAAGAGACCAACAGUAACUCACUCCACACUUCCAUCCUCCUUCGGCUGCCAGUUGACAAUGUUACACUUGGCAGUCACGUCCAAAUUCUCAUUGAAAUAUACUUCCUCACCCUCCUUUGUCUUGAAACACUUUUUUCAUAAGCUUGAGAAUACUACCACCACUAAUACCACAACCACUAGGCCUACUACCACUACUACUACAACUACUACCACGAGUACAACUACCACCACUAAUACAACUACCACAAGGCCUACUACCACUACUACUACAACUACUACCACGAGUACCACAACCACGACUACUACUACUACAACUACUACUACAACUACUACCACGAGUACUACUACCACCACUAAUACCACUACCACUACUACUACAACUACUACCACGAGUACUACUACCACGACUACUACUACUACCACUACUACUACAACUACUACCACGAGUACUACUACUACCACUAAUACCACUACCACUACUACUACAACUACUACCACGAGUACCACUACCACCACUAAUACCACUACCACAAGGCCAACAACUUGUACUACUACCACUAGGUCUACUACCAAUAGGCCUACUAACACUAAUACUACUACUACUACCACUAAGUCUACUAUCACUACUACUAAUACUACUACCACCACUAGACCUACUACCACUACUACUACUACCACUACUAAUCCUUCCACUACUACUACUUCCACUAGGGAUACUACCACUAGGCCUACUACCACCACUAGUCUUACAACUACCACCAAUAGUACCACUACUACUACUGCUAGGCCUACUACCACUACUACUACUACUACUACUACUACUACUACUACUACUACUACUACUACUACUACUACCACUACUAUGACUAAUACUACUGCUAGUGUUACCACUAGUACUACUACUACUGCUAAGCCUACUACCACUACGACUACUACUACUACUACUACUACUACUACUACUACUACUACUACUACCACUAGUACUACUACUAAUACUACUUCUAGGCUUAGUACAACUACUACCACUACUACUAGUACUACUACUACUACUAGGGCUACUACCACUACUACUACUUCUACCACUACUACUACUACUACCACUACCACUACUACUACUACUACUACUACUACUACUACUACAAUUACUACUACUAGGCCAACUACCACAACUACUACUACUACCACUAAUACUACUACUACUACCGCCACUACUACUACUACUACUACCACUACUACUACCACUACCACUACUAGGCCUACUUCCACUACUACUAUUUCUACUACUACUACUACUACUACUACCAUGACUGCUACUACUAAGGCUACUACCACUACUACUACUACUACUACCACUAAUACUACUACUACCGCUAUGGCUACUAACACUACUACUACUACUACCACUAGGCCUAAGACCUCUACUACCACUACUACCAUUAGGGCUACUACCACUACUACUACUACCACUAAGCCAACUACUAUGUCUACAACUACUACCACUACUACUACUACUUCUACUACCACUACUACUACUAAUAUCACUAGGGAUCAUACCACUACUACUAUUACCACUACUACUACUACUUCUACUACCACUACUACUACUAAUAUCACUAGGGCUACUACCACUACUACUACUACUACCACUACUACUACUACUACUACUACUACCACCACUACUACCACAAGGACUACUACCACUACUACCAGUACUACCACUACUACUACUACUACUACCACUAGUAAAACAACCACUACUACUACGUCUACCACAACUACAACUACUACAACUACUACUACCACUACUGCUAUUACUACCACUAGUACUACAGCCACUUCUACUACAACUACUUCCACUACUACCACUACUAAUACUACUACCACUACUAGCAUUAGUUCUACUACCAAUACUACUACUACCGCGAUGGCUACUAACACUACUACUACUACUACCACUAGGCCUAAGACCUCUACUACCACUACUACCAUUAGGGCUACUACCACUACUACUACUACCACUAAGCCAACUACUACCACUACAACUACUACCACUACUACUACUACCACUACUACUACUACUUCUACUACCACUACUACUACUAAUAUCACUAGGGAUCAUACCACUACUACUAUUACCACUACUACUACUACUUCUACUACCACUACUACUACUAAUAUCACUAGGGCUACUACCACUACUACUACUACUACCACUACUACUACUACUACUACUACUACCACUACUACUACCACAAGGACUACUACCACUACUACCAGUACUACCACUAGUACUACUACUACUACCACUAGUAAAACGACCACUACUACUACGUCUACCACAACUACAACUACUACAACUACUACUACCACUACUACUAUUACUACCACUAGUACUACAGACACUACUACUACAACUACUUCCACUACUACCACUACUAAUACUACUACCACUACUAGCAUUAGUUCUACUACCAAUACUACUACUACUACCACUACUACUACCAUGAGGACUACUACCACUACUACCAUUUCUACCACUACUACUACUACUACUACCACUAAUACAACUACCUAUACUACUACUACUACUGCUACUAGGUAUACUACCACUACUACUACUACUACGACCACUAGGCCUACGACCACUACGACUACCACUACUCCUACCACUACUACUACUACUACUACCACUAGGCCUACUAACACUAAUACUACUACCUCUACCACUACGACCACUAGGCCUACGACCACUACUACUACUACUACUACUACUACUACUAGGCCUACUACCACUACUACUACCACUACUACCACUACUACCACUAGGCCUACUACCACUAAUACUACUACUACUUCUACUACUACUUCUACUACUACCACUAGGACUACUACCACUAGGACUAUUACCGCUACCACUACUACCACUACUACUACUACCACUCGGCCUACUAUCACUACUACUACUACUACCACUACAACUACUUCUACUACCACUACGACCACUAGGCCUACAACCCCUACUACGACCACUAGGCCUACUACCACUACUACUACCACUAGGCCUACUACCACUACUACUACCACUAGGCCUACUACCACUACUAAUAUCACUAGGCCUACUACCACUACUACUAUCGCUAUGCCUACUACCACUAUAACUACUUUUUCUACCACUACUACCACUAGGCCUACUACGCCUACUACUACUACCACUACUACCACUACUACCAUUAGGCCUACUACCACUACUACUACUACCACUGCUACUCCUCCUCCUCUUCCUUCUCCCCCUCCCAUGAAUACAUAUUCUUUGACUGUCUCCAUAAGAGAACCCUAUUUUACACCGCUGCUACUCUCUGUUGUUAUCAUCUAUGCAUAG